UGAAAGCUGAUGUGAAACAUGAUCUAAUCGUAAAAACAGAAAGAAAAAUAGACAUUAUGGUCCUUUGUUUAACUUUGUCACAUUAAUAUUUUUAAUAAUUGAAACAAUAAUGUUAUUAAGCUAGAUAAUCAUAUACUUUUUCUACAACAUCUUUAUUGAUCAGGUUUGUCAAAUUGCUCCUACUCAGUCUGCUGACUCACACUCCCUAUAAAGGCCAUCUGGUAUUUUCACUUUUGGGUAAAUGGUGGGCAAUAUCCGAUUUCACUUUUCUUUCCCGUACGAUUAUUCAGGGACUGUGUAAACACCGUGCUCUUCAACUGAAGUUUCUGUGUGGAAUUGGCUGCUGUCCUGUUGGUGCCCUCUCAUUGGUGAUAAACAACUUCAGUAAACUGUGUCCUAUUACUCAUUUCAAGACUUCUCAAAAUCUCUUCGGAAACAGAACAACACAGCCUUAUCUUAUUCAGACCAUUGUGUAUAAUAAUGGCAGUGAUGAAUAUUUUUUGUAAAUAAGGUUCCGAGGGGUAUACAAGAACGCGAAUCAGACGAACAAUUUCUUUUCCAAUUGAGAGGCCAAUGUAAGUACUUUCUAGCACAUGGAAUACAGAUAACUGGGCUACUAUAGGAGGCUUGAACAAGAUAAACUGCACAAGUGCACCAUUUUGUAGCAUGUUAUACGUAUUUUAGUUUAGAUGCUUGUCAAUGGAAACCUCUUUUCUCUGCUCGUAUUUCCACCACUAUCCACUUUUGGGAUCAGUAUAAUGUUUGUUGCUUUCUGUCAUAAUCAAGGGUCAAACCAGUUUUGAACUUACAGUUAUACUUUUGCAACAAAUAAAGUAGCAAACAUAAUUGCUCAGAAAAUUGAUACUUUAGCUAUAAACUGCUCCAUGCAACUUCUUGAAUCAACUGCUUCAAAUAAUCAUAAAGGAGAUGCGAAAACUUUACAGAGGUUCUUAUCAUGUACAAGGUAGAAAACUCUCGAAUUUCAAGUGUUUGAUAGAUGUUUCGAAA